CGUAACACAGCUAUUACAUUCAUGGUCAACCUUUAACAGGGUGAUGCCCACAGAUUAGGUAGGAUUGGUAUCAGCUGUACUUGAGAAUUCUUGUCAAAUCCAAUGGAAGGCAUUGGAAAGGGAGGGAGAAAAGCUUCUUGAACACCAGGCCAUAAGGGACAGUUAUGAAGACCCCCCUGGAUAAGAUUCUUGAUGAGGGUAUUUAUGCUUGACCCACGGGUUCAGGCUGAAUAUGACAACCAUAUACUGUCCCUAAAGCACUAAACGCCUGGGAUAAGGUUCAUGAGCCAGGGGAAUGACUGGAAGUUUAUACCAGAAUAGAACAGGGACCAGAAGAACUAUUCCAGGACUACUUAGACAGGUUAUCCAGGGUAGUAGAAUUACAACUAACAUAUCUGGCAGUAAGACUGUAUAUAUAAGAGCUUAUGAUAAUGCAAACCCAAUAUGCAAAAGAAUACUUUUGCCUUUAAAGAUCAGAUCAGCUCCGUUAGAAGAAUGGGUUUUGCAUACAGCCCACAUUGACUAUAGUGUGCAAGAUACUGGAGUCUGGGCAGGAGAAGCUAUCCCAAGAGUUUUCAAAAGGCAGCAGGAGAUUAAGAGUUCCAGAGGUGAUAACAGAAGGGCUUGGGAAGAUGAAACACCUUACAGGGAUCAAUAUAGGUACCAAGAGGCCAGGUUUCAUCACUACUAUGAACUAGAACCUCAGGUAGGAAGAGCCCACUCCAGGAGACCACGAAUAAUCAGGAACCUAGAUGUUUCAGCUGUGGAGAAUGGGCCAUAUAAAGAGAAAUUGUAGGCAAAGAAAUUCUAAUGAUCCCUCACAUGAAAGGCCACUGCCUUCUGGAUUGUGUAGAAGAUGUGGUAAGGGCAGACACUGGACUAAUGAGUGUAGAUCGACCAGGGACAUUCAAGGGAACCCGUUAAGGCUGGGAAUCUCAGACGGGAGCCUCAAGAAGGCCCCCACAUUGAAAAGGUCUGGUCAUUUCCAGUAGCAGUGGAAGACAAUCUCUCACAGGAUGAAUAGAUGGUUCUUUGUCUAUUGUGAAAGGUGACACUGCUAUAGAUGGUAGUUUGACUAGCGAUGAAGAAUCAGAUAAGACUGGACAAGACAAAAAGCACAUAUUUUGGCAGACCUCCAUCAAAGAUAAAAGGUCUCAUUUAAAAGUAAAAAUCAAUAAUAAAAUUAUCAACGGCAUUUUAGACAUGGGAGCUGAUGUCACUAUUAUUACACAAAAAUCCUGGUCACAGAAGUGACCACUUAGGGAAGCAAAUUUAAAAUUUUUGGGAAUUGAAACUCUAUCUAAGUUCAACAGAUUGUUCACUUAGUGGUCUGCAUUGGACGGGAAGGACAGAAAGGGAGACUAAAACCUUACAUGGCAAAUAUAGCUAUAAACCACUGGGGGCAUGAUCUCUUACAGCAAUGGAACACUCAAAUUAAUAUCCCUCCAGUGUCAGAUACGAAUUAUGUACAAUCUCUGGAUAGUAAAAAAAGAUCUGGUAAGACACUAUGGGAAAUGGUUCCCCUACAGUUACCAACCAUCCAGGCUGUACAGAAACUAGGUACAAAUGAUAGACCUUCAGAGGAGCCAAAGGCUUACAGAUGAGCCUGUCUGGGUAGGACAGUGGCCUUUGAUCUCUGAGAAGCUAGAGGCUCUAGAAAAAUUAGUACAGUAACAUUUAGAGGCUGGACACAUAGAGGAAUCUACCAACCUUUGGAAUUCUCCUGUAUUUGUUAUCAAAAAGAAGUCAGGUAACUGGAGAAUGCUGAUAGACUUGAGAGCCAUAAAUAAGUAAUUCAGCCUACAGGCUCUCUAUAGCCUAGAAUGCUAUUGCCUUCCUUAAUAGCUUAAGGAUGGCCGAUCAUAGUAAUUGAUCUGAAAGACUGGUUUUUCACUAUACCAUUACAAGAAAGUGAUAGAGAGAAAUUUGCAUUUACUGUACCAACUCUUAAUAACUCACAGCCAGUUCGAAGAUAUCAGUGGAAGGUUUUGCCACAAGGGAUGCUAAAUAGUCCUACUUUAUGUCAACACUUUGUACAACAACCUUUGGAAAUAAUUUGUAAGAAAUUUUCACAAUCUCUCGUUUAUCAUUACAUGGAUGAUAUUCUUUUAUCAGAUUCCAAUAAGGAAAUUUUGGAAUGUGUGUUUGACAUAGUGAAGGAAGUUCUGCCUAGAUGGGGGUUUCAGGUUGCCCCGGAAAAGAUACAAAGAGGAGAGUCUAUUAACUAUUUAGGUUAUAAGGUAGACUUACAUAGAAUCAGGCCACAGAAGGUACAAAUUCAAAGGGAUUGUUAUCAAACUCUUAAUAGUCUUCAGAAGCUGCUAGGAGAAAUUUCUCAAUUACAGACGAUUAUUGUGGUAGAAGGGCAUGACUUAAAACAUUUAAAAUUGCCCUUAAAGGUGAUAAGGACCUAAACAGUCCACAAAUAUUAUCCGCUGAUGUAGAAAAGGAAUUACAAUGGGUAGAAAACAGAAUAUUGGAUGCGCAUGUAGAUCAGAUAAACCUUGAUUUAGACUGUGUUCUGGUUAUCUUGCCAUCCAGAGAAUAUCCUUCUGGAAUUCUGAUACAGAGGAAAGAUACCAUAUUGGAGUGGGUAUUUCUGCCAGAUAAACAGAAUAAAAAGUUAAAGACAUAUAUAGAAAAGAUUUGUGAUUUGAUUUUAAAGGGCAAAGUAAGACUUUGUCAACUGUCUGGAAAAGAUCCAGCAGAAAUUAUAGUACCUUUAACUAAUGAAGAAAUGUGGGGGACCAAAAUAUUUCCGCUAUGGAAUAUUUUGAGAUCCAGCCUUUGGUUUCACUAAACAUGGAAUACUGGAAAGCUAUUGUAUUGUUAAUGCCAGUAGGACUACUAUUGUUUACCAUGGCCUCAGGGUAAUAUGCCUCCUAUUUGCAUCUCUGUGAGCCUAAGCAUCUGAAUAGGCCCUCACCUGGGUAGAGGGACAAUAGGUGUAACUUGUGAGGAUGGAAGGUUAGGAGUGAGGGGCCAGCCACCAGAGGAGAGAGGAGAACAAAGAGAGAUGGUUCCCUCGUGGUAUUGGCAGGAUGGUUAGGAAACACCAGAAAAGAUGGCAAAUAAAGAAAUGACUCUAGUUCUACAACAUGGAACUGAGAGCUCUCUAAAGAUGACAGUGUUUGGUCUUUAUUGUUGCUGGGUUGCUAGGAGCGUCCAGGUCCACACAUCCCCACUCAG
ensembl:lncRNA